GGCAGCGCAGAGCCUGCCUGGAUCCUCCGCCCUCCUCGCCCUGCCCUGCCCCCUGCGCGAACACGUAAAAAGAGGUAACACGCAGUGUUCAUUUAAGGUCUCUCGGGUGCGGCUGAUUAGGGGCGCCGAGCGGUGCAGGCUUCUGGGAAAACAAUGUGGCAGGAAACAGCGUCUAGUCUUCAGAAGCUCUUGCCUCCUGACUUGCUCAUUUUGACUUCGAAACAUUUUUAGGAGGAUCUCUGGUUUUACAGGAGGAAACCUGUAAAGAUGCAGAACCUGGCAGCUGAUGAGAGAAUUUACCCCAAAUCCCAUCAUCCUCUUCACGACCGGCCGCCAUUUCCCCGCAGUGAGACUCUAUCAUCUUUGUAAUCGGGAAGCAGUAACUGUGAUUCACAAAAUGUCAAUUCAGAAGCAAAAUCUUACCGGAGGAGGAAGUUUCCCUUCAAUCAAAAGCAAGGUAUCUCCAGAACAUACCAUGAGUUCUUUCAGGGACGCGUCCUGGGGAAACAAAUUCCUUCAUGAGUUUUGACAGGAACAAACAGAUUACUGGGUCUUUUCUUUAAACCCAAUGCCUCCAUGACCCGUUCAAGAAAGAAACAGGAAGGCAGGUGCGGGGACACAGGAAAUAAACGGAGACCACCAAACAGCGUGUCACCAUGGAUUAAAUUACUGGGUAUGAACCGAAGUAUCACAGAAGAUUAUGGGAGGGGGGACAGGAUGAGAAAUGAUGAGAGCCUGAGCUACACAGGAUGAAAGUCUAGUUAAGCCUAAAGGCCGGGUCUGAUUUAGAAAAAGCUGGAGGAGACGAGAGAAGGAAUUCUCCUGAAAACAGGAUUAUGGUGGAGGGUACAUCAAGAAUCCGGAAAGAGCUGAGAGACAGGCCGACCAGAGUCCCAGCUGGGGAGGAAAAGAGCGAACUGGUGGGGUGGGGGCGGGGUCACAGGUGGAAGGGCUGUGACCUAGAACUGAGGGAGUUGUUAGGUGCUUUGAAAAAAGCCGCUCAAGUUUUCCGAGUAGGGGGUUUUAAAGACCAGUCCGGCUGCUACAUGAACGACACCCUGAAGGGGGAAGGCGGUGGUGUAAUUUAGUAAGAGGCCAAAAAAGGAAGGAGAAAACUUGACCCAGGCGGCCAGUGGUGGGGAGGGUCAGGAAGGCGGGGGAGAGCUGAGAGGUCUCUGAAGGCCGAGACAAACAUGAUGGGAGCAGAUACGCAGGGGAGGGGCGCUGCAGGCUGAAGACCCCAGACUGGGAAAGAGCAGGUCUGGGAAGAGGAACCAGUUUUGAGGAUAAUGAGUUUGCUUUCAGAUGAACUGCUUGAUACUCAUGUGGGAAUUAACAGAGAGGAAACCGCACGACUAGAUACGUUCUCUGACAUUCAAAUCAUGUGUCCUGGACAUUCCCUGAGGGCCACUUCUUACUCUGGGCCGCCAGAUUCCUGACCGGGACUCGGGGGGCCUCUGUGCGGCCUCACUCAGCCCUACACAGCGAAGAGUGGCCCAGUGGAGGCCCUCAGUCCACCUGCUGGCGUCAGCCUUCUGCUGAUGCUCAACGCCACCGUCCGCUGCUGACCAGACAGCAGGCAGAGGAGACUGCGGGGGGGGGGGAGCGGGCGGCCCGGUGCCUACGCCCUCACGGAGCCCCAGCUGGGGGCCGCGAGCACCACGUGUGAUGCCAUGGGCAUCGGCAGGAAGAUGGUGAGCUAGAUUCCGACCAGCCUCUGGUAACACUGUUCCUAGGGCUACCGGAAGGGUCUGGAUGGAUCCCAAGAUGCAAGAUGAAUUCUGCUGUCGUUAACUUACAGAGAAAUGGAGAAUAAAAUAUUCAGGUUUCGAAAUUCAGA